GGUUCAGUCUUUAAGCACCUUCAUAGCUCAGUUAGUAGAGCAGAUGACUGUAAGAAGUUCCUUGUAUGAAACGCUGUGAUCCAAAGGUCCCUGGUUCAAUUCCAGCUCGAAGCAGCUGAUUUCCUUGGUGUAUGCACUGUUUUACCCUUUUCAUUGACCAUGUGUGUCAAAUAGUUUUGUUGGCAAAGUGUGUCAUCUCAUCCACUAUAUUUUCUGCAGUUGUGACUAUAAGCAGCUUCAUAGCUCAGUUGGUAGAGCAGAGGAUUGUAAGAAGUUCCUCAUAUAAAACGCUGUGAUGCGUACAUUUCUGGUUCAACUCCAGCUCGAAGCACACAAUUUCAUUGGUGUAUGCACUGUUGAAGUCUUUUCAUUGACCAUGUGGGUCGAAUAGUUGUGUUGGCAAAGUGUGUCGUCUCAGCCACUAUGUUUUCUGCGGUUGAGUUUAUAAGCACCUUCAUAGCUCAGUUGGUGGCGCAGAUGACUGUAAGAAGUUCUUCGUAUAAAACGCUGUGAUGCGUACAUUUCUGGUUCAACUCCAGCUCGAAGCACACAAUUUCAUUGGUGUAUUCACUGUUCAAGUCUUUUCACUGACCAUGUGCUUCGAAUAGUUGUGUGGGCAUUGUGUGUCAUCUCAGCCACUAUGUUUUCUGCAGUUGUGACUAUAGCGCACCUUGAUAGCUCAGUUGCUAGAGCGGAGAACUGUGGGAUGCUCAUAUGAAAUGCUGUGAUCCUAAGGUCACUGGUUCAACUCCAGCUCAAAACCCAAGCAUUUCAUUGGUGUGAGCAAUGUUCUAGGUCAAAUCACAUUGAAAUCAUGCCGAGCCUUGUGUUAAAUCCAUUUAUCGAAACUCCCAACAACAUUCUUACGUUAAAACCUUUCCUAGACUAUCAGAUUUAGCAUCCAGUACCCUAUUAAAAAGCUCAUUGACAUUUACAUUGUGUUGUAUUGUAUUGUAUUGUAAUAAUAGUGUACCUUAACUAGACUUAAAGCCAUUGUAAGGGAUAUUGUAUUUUCAGUGAACAAAUCUGGAAGUGUAAGUGGAACUAGAAAAAUUGCAUUUCCUUGCAGAAAAUGCGUGGAAAUGCUGAGUGCUGAAAGCUGAAAAAGCAAUGCUAAACUGCUAAUAAAACAUGGAGAAAGAUAUUAAUGUAAAAGCUGUUGAAGGGAUGAAAAAGAAAUAUAAGUUGAAUAAUUGUGAAAAUGGUUGAAGGACAAACAGUAUGAAUAUGCUCCAUGAAUUGAAAUUUUAUUCCUGCUGAAAGAGGCCAGAAAAAUAAUUGAAAUUGCACAAAGUUUAAAUGAAGAAGUAAAUUACCUUAAAAGGCAGGAAGGUGAGAAGUGGCAUAAGUUUAACUUGUUGUGCUAGUGGUAGUAUGAUAAGGAGUCAUAGUAGUGAUAUUAGUAGUCAUGUAGUGAUAUUAGUAGUCAUGUAAGCAGUAGAAAUAGUUUGAGAAUAGGAGAAGUCAAAGUAGAAGAGCUAGUGGAAGAAGUAGUAGUAGCAGUAGAGAAUGUAGAAAUAGUAGCAAUAGUAGUUGAAGUAGAAGUCAAAGUACUAGUUUAAUUGAUAUUAGCAGUAGUUGUAGUAGAAGAAGUGGGAUUUUGUUUAAGGGGUGAAUAAUGCAAACUCCAGACCCCCCAUAAUCCGGCCCUGCAUAUGAUAUACAUCAGAUUACCCAAAUAACAACCACCAAUCUAUGGUGCACAAUUUUGCAGAGAAGUGUAAUGUAAAACUCAAACUAUGAGUAAGGAAAGAUGUGUUUCUGGUUAGCUGCUGCUAAAAAAUGAUUUUACUUUUUGUCAAAGCAAGAAUUGCUGAGUUUUGUAAGGGAUUAAAUCAGAGCUAAGAAUUUAUCUUCAUAAUCAAAUUUCAGUGGACUGCUCUUGGGGUAAUCUUUCAACUUUAGAUGAGAAACAAAAAAACCUCGCCCUUGUUUUUUCCUCAUAUAUCCCUCAUUCCAAAGAGCUUCAAAUCAAAGUGAUCUAUUAACACAUUACAAAGUCAGAGGGGUGGUGGUGGUAAUCCUCAUUUUGGGGCAAAAACCAAUAAAGUGGACAAUUGCUCACUCUGAAUGUGGCAUGCUGUGCCAUAUCUGCUUAAGAGAAAGCUGUUUACUUUGAAGUGAGGCUUCACUAGUGCACAGAGAAGCAUCUUGCAUGACUGUUCUCUAUUUAGCCUGUGGAUGACUUGUGCUUCUGACUGAAUACCGGAGUGUAAAGUGAAGGGCAAUGUUUGUGUCUCCGAAAAUAUCAAAUGAAAAAAUCUGACAGAAGUUUGCUUUGCUGGGUUACUCUUAAGAACUGUCUCUCUUCUGUACACAUACACACACGCACUAGCAUAAACACACCCACGUUUUACCAGUGUGAUCUGCAUUUCCAUUUUUUUUGGUGACAGAUCGAUCAAAAUUUGAAUGAUAGGAGGUAUAUUUUGGUCAAGCUGGCUCAAGAUCCUCCUC